CUGCAAGCCCAAUCUCUCAUUUCAACAAAAAAGCCUAACUAAGAUGUCUCUCCUUCGUUUUGCUUUUCCGUUUUGAUCUCAGAAACCCUGGCCGUUCCGAUUCCUUUCCCCAUGCGAGCCAGCUGAGCAACGACAGUUUACUACAUUAAAACCAAAAUUUCCACUACUUGAACUUCAAUGCUUCUUUACUUUUUCUUUGGCGUAUACAUAUAUGAAGGGUUUGUGAGUCUUCACAUCCAUCUAUUGGGCAGGCCGGAGUAGGAAUGUCAAGAAAGGUGGAGAUUUGAUGGGUAUGGAUCUGGUCCUGCUUGAUGGAAAGUAAACUCUGAUCCAUAGGUCAAUCAGUGUGCACCAACUCAAUACCUUCAGACAUAUUCUCAAAGAAGGAGGUUUUUAUGAGCUAAGUCUUUAUAUUAGCUGAUGCGCAUGUUGCAAUUCAAUUCAUAGAGCAGGUAAAGCUUCGCAUAUAUAGUUGGUGAAAUUAUGGGUAUUAAGACGACAUACAAUGAAGAAACACAAAAAUUCAACGUCUCAUGAAUCAUGGCAACCAUACACAUUCACAGGUCAUACUAACUUAUGUCCAUUUCUAUUUCAAACUCUCUACGAUAAAUGGGUUGUAUUGUUUUUUUAAAUCAGUUCGUUUCAAAUCCUUGACAACGCAUGGCCACUAACGUAUGUGUGAGUGCUUUUGACGGGAUAGCUAUACAACUCCAUGAUAAGUUGUUUGCGGCUGGUGUGGCCAGCCACUGGUUUUUGUAGCCACUAAUUUUAAUCAUGUCUGCUUGGCUUUUUGCUUUACAUUCUCAGCCACGAACAAUACACAUCAUCAAACCAUUUUUUCUUUGUACGCUGGCUUUUCCUUGAUGCCACCUCUGGAACUCAUUUAUACUUUCACAAUGAGUGUGACGUGAGCUCCAGUUACCUGCAGGGGUAAGGGUUUCUCGCGACAAGGAGAGGGUUCGUCGUCAAGAAGAUAGAAUCAUUGACAGUGUCAGAACUGAAUUCAUAUGUCCUCAACUUCCCACUGCAGGUUGCAGAGUUCCUCUUCACUGGAGAAGUAUGCAACCUUGAAACAGCCAAUGCGUGGUGCUAUAUCGCAUGAUCAAAGUGCUCACGUUAACUGCUACGGGGGCUUUCAUUCUUUGACAUGCGCUGUACGUAAUGAUGACAAGGCUUCCGGAGUUGUUAGGUACCGUGUUGAGAUGAAUAUGUUGGAUACUUGGAUGUAUCUGACUCUGUGUUAGUUGGUUUUGACAUGAAAUGAGCAAGGUGACAAAUGUACCUGAUGCUGCAAUUUCAAAACUCAUGGCUGCUGGAUAGGAAGACCCACAUAACAUGGCGCUUCCACAAUGCCCUGCUGAUAUUGUGGGGGAGGACCUUCACAUUCCAGCUCAAGCUUAAAGAUUUUAAUUUCUUACCAAAGAUCGUUGACGAUCUCAUGCAUAUUUGAUUGCAACCAUCCCCUACCUCUUCCUAAUUUUGAGAAUCAGAAAGGUCACAACAACCCAGGCGAUGAUAUGCGAGGAGCUGGUCCGGUUUCACAAAUUUCUUCAGCUGGUGUUCACAUAGUUCUUCCUGACACCAGCACGGUGUUGACAAUGUUGUUCCUGCUAACAGCAGAGGCAUCACUGGAGUGGUCGUCGAUGAAGGCAUCCCAUGAGAUUGGUGUGAGCGCUGUGUCCAACAUGUUAUUACCGAACUAUCUUCAGAGGAUGCCUCAGUUAAGGAAGGUGGCUUCUCUGCGAAGAAGCAACGUCGUGGCUAAAAUCUGCAGUAUUGUACUCCAUCUAGAUAAAGAGUGGUCUUACAAGUACUCUACCGUCCCUUUUUAAAAUUUCCGUGAAAUAAUAAAAGCAUUUCUGCAACUAUCUGCUUCCGUAUUAUUGAUUGUUUGGUUUUCAAAAGUUUUAUGUUCUCUGGAAGGAAAGUCUUUUGUCAACCUCAAACAAUAUCGAUAUUGAACCCAUCUACUAGAUCUUAAAGUA